rnacentral:rRNA from 1 species
UCGGCAAUGGGCGAAAGCCUGACCGAGCGGCGCCGCGUGCGGGAUGAAGGCCUUCGGGUUGUAAACCGCUGUCGUUGGGGAGGAAGUGCAGGGGGGUUCUCCCCUCUGUUUGACCUAUCCAAGGAGGAAGUACGGGCUAAGUUCGUGCCAGCAGCCGCGGUAAGACGAACCGUACGAACGUUAUUCGGAAUUACUGGGCUUAAAGGGUGCGUAGGCUGCGCGGUAAGUUGGGUGUGAAAGCCCUCAGCUCAACUGAGGAACUGCACUCAAAACUACCGUGCUCGAGGGAGACAGAGGUAAGCGGAACUCAAGGUGGAGCGGUGAAAUGCGUUGAUAUCUUGAGGAACACCGGUGGCGAAGGCGGCUUACUGGGUCUUUUCUGACGCUGAGGCACGAAAGCUAAGGUAGCAAACGGGAUUAGAUACCCCGGUAGUCUUAGCUGUAAACGAUGAGCACUUGUUUGAAGGGUCCUCCAUAGCCUUUCAGACGUAGCGAAAGUGUUAAGUGCUCCGCCUGGGGAGUAUGGUCGCAAGGCUGAAACUCAAAGA